CUACGGGGCGCUGCAGUGAGGAAUAUUGCACAAUGGGGGGAACCCUGAUGCAGCAACGCCGCGUGGAGGAUGACGCAUUUCGGUGUGUAAACUCCUUUUAUAUGUCAAGAAAAUGACGGUAGCAUAUGAAUAAGCACCGGCUAACUCCGUGCCAGCAGCCGCGGUAAUACGGAGGGUUCAAGCGUUACCCGGAAUCACUGGGCGUAAAGGACGCGUAGGCGGGUUGGAAAGUCAGGUGUGAAAUCCUACAGCUUAACUGUAGAACUGCACUUGAAACUUCUAAUCUAGAGUAUGGGAGGGGGAGAUGGAAUUAGUGGUGUAGGGGUAAAAUCCGUAGAUAUCACUAGGAAUACCUAAAGCGAAGGCGAUCUCCUGGAACAUUACUGACGCUAAGGCGUGAAAGCGUGGGGAGCAAACAGGAUUAGAUACCCCUGUAGUC
rnacentral:rRNA from 1 species